GACGAAUGCUGGCUGCGUGCUUAACACAUGCAAGUCGAACGGUGAAGGGGAGCUUGCUCCCCGGAUCAGUGGCGAACGGGUGAGUAACACGUGGGCAACCUGCCCCUCACUCUGGGAUAACUCCGGGAAACCGGGGCUAAUACCGGAUACGACCGGGAGCGACAUCGCUCCUGGUGGAAAGAACUUCGGUGAGGGAUGGGCCCGCGGCCUAUCAGCUAGUUGGUGGGGUAACGGCCCACCAAGGCGACGACGGGUAGCCGGCCUGAGAGGGCGACCGGCCACACUGGGACUGAGACACGGCCCAGACUCCUACGGGAGGCAGCAGUGGGGAAUAUUGCGCUAUGGGCGAAAGCCUGACGCAGCGACGCAGCGUGAGGGACGAAGGCCUUCGGGUUGUAAACCUCUUUCAGCGGGGACGAAGCGAAAGUGACGGUACCCGCAGAAGAAGCACCGGCUAACUACGUGCCAGCCGCCGCAGUAAUAC
rnacentral:rRNA from 1 species